GGCAUGUGCAUGAUGAUGAUGGUUAAAAAAGUAUAUUGUAACGAGUUGAAACCUUGAACAGUUUGAAUAAAACAAUAAACAUAACAGAUUACACCAAGCAAAACCACACCCUUCGAAAGUGGAUACGUCAUGUUUUUGAAUGACGUCAUCACCGUCCGAAGUAUUCUUCCUCAACGGAAUCAUUCAAUAUUCCAUCGAUUAGUCGCAACGUCUGCGGUCGUCAGCAACAGCUCAGGAUAUCGGAGAAUUGGAUUGAAUUUUGGUCCGAUUAAAGCCUUGAACCAGUAUUGGUCAUCGGUGUUUCAGAGACCACAUGUAUGUAGAUAUCAUGAUUGUAAAGGUAGAGCGAGAGAGAGAAAGAAAGAGUAGGUAGUGCAGCCCGAGCCCGAACCGACUGUUCGGCUGGUUACAGCCAAGUACCUGUGCACCACAUGGAUAACGAUAUUCACGCCUGAAAGGUCAAAGGUUCCGCCGAUCGCAGCCUUUCGCUUCUCCUCCACCCACGAUUUGGAACGUUAACAGUAGACAUCCAGCAAAAUCAGCUGCAGCAGGUACGUACGUAUACCAACGCAGGUCUCUGUCAGCCAUUAUAAACACGGUGUAUCCAUCGUCGUAAUUUAUGAACGCGUCCAAGUGUGGCACACGCCUUUACCCGACGUAUCUGCCUCUAUGCAUGCGUACCGUACGUGUGGCUAGGUACUAUAGUCGAUGGUGGUGGAUGGAGGGACGCGUGGGAGUUCGAGGCCACGAGACGCGAUCAUCGCGAGAAGCUUUACGGACACCCUCAUGCCGCAUGUCUGACGUAACUGAUGGACCCUCUGGACGAGUUCGUUUCCAAUAUUUUUUUUUUGGAACGAGAGAGAAGAGAGCAGACUUUAGUUUUUGUCGAUAGAAUAAUUGAUGAAGUUGUACUGUUACAUACGCUGAUUAAUCUCGAACAAAUAUUGCGAUUUUGAAUCAAUCAGAUCCAUACGGUAAAAUCAUUCCGUAAAAAUUGUAGAUUGGUUUCUCGACUAUCCUGAUAAAAGAAAUGAUAGUUUCGAAA